GAUGAACGCUGGCGGCGUGCCUAAUACAUGCAAGUCGAGCGAACAGACGAGGAGCUUGCUCCUCUGACGUUAGCGGCGGACGGGUGAGUAACACGUGUAUAACCUACCUAUAAGACUGGGAUAACUUCGGGAAACCGGAGCUAAUACCGGAUAAUAUAUUGAACCGCAUGGUUCAAUAGUGAAAGACGGUUUUGCUGUCACUUAUAGAUGGAUCCGCGCCGCAUUAGCUAGUUGGUAAGGUAACGGCUUACCAAGGCAACGAUGCGUAUCCGACCUGAGAGGGGGAUCGGCCACAUUGGAACGUGGCCAGCGACCAUACGCCUACGGGAGGGCGCAGUAUGGAAUCGUCCGCAAUGGUCGAAAGCUUUGCGCAGCGAGGCCGCGUGAGUGAUGAAGGUCUUCGGAUCGUAAAGCUCUGUUACUGGGUAAGAACAAAUGUGUAAUUAGCUAUGCACGUCUUGACGGUACCUAAUCAGAAAGCCCCGGCUAACUACGUG
rnacentral:rRNA from 1 species